GAAUUUUGGACAAUGGGGGCAACCCUGAUCCAGCAAUGCCGCGUGCAGGAAGAAGGCCUUCGGGUUGUAAACUGCUUUUGUACGGAACGAAAAGGCUCUGGUUAAUACCUGGGGCACAUGACGGUACCGUAAGCAUAAGCACCGGCUACCUACGUGCCAGCAGCCGCGGUAAUCCGUAGGGUGCGAGCGUUAAUCGGAAUUACGGGGCGUAAAGCGUGCGCAGGCGGUGCUGUAAGACAGGCGUGAAAUCCCCGGGCUUAACCUGGGAAUGGCGCUUGUGACUGCAGUGCUGGAGUGUGGCAGAGGGGGAUGGAAUUCCGCGUGUAGCAGUGAAAUGCGUAGAUAUGCGGAGGAACACCGAUGGCGAAGGCAAUCCCCUGGGCCUGCACUGACGCUCAUGCACGAAAGCGUGGGGAGCAAACAGG
rnacentral:rRNA from 1 species